GGCCAGUUCAGGCUGCCCUCGGGCAGUCUCAUUUCCAACCCCGGCCAAGAAAGCUGUGCUAGAGGUGGCCUAGAUUUCCAGAGUUUGGGGGCACAAUGUGAGGCCAGAUAUAGAUCCUGUAGAAGACAACUGAACUUGAUUGUUUUAAAGGAUUUCCUAUCAAGAGCACCAUCUGAAGUGAUGAAAGAUGCAUUGUCACAUGGCAAAUGACCAAAAAACAGUUUUGACCUGCUGAAGCAGUUUUCAACAAGAGUCCUUGUGCACCAAGGCAUCUGAAUCCCAAUGCCUCCUUAACGGUUUGGAAGUUUCACGAUAUGUAUCAAACCUACGUCUCCAAGAGAGUCUUAUGUACGUCUCCAAGAGAGUCUUAUGUCUCCAAGAGAGAUCCAAGAGAGUCUGUUGUGACACACUGUAUUUCAUUCCUGAUAUUGGUGAUUUGAAUCUUCUCUUUUCUUCUGUGUUAAUCUUGGUAGAAGUUUGUCAAUUAUAUAGAUCAUUUUCAAGGACAAUUCUAUGUUUUAUUGAGUUUUUCUACUGUUUUCUUUUUCAAUUUUAUUGAUUUCUGAUAUUAUGUUUAUUAUUUCCUCCACAUGCCUGCAAUGUUAUUUUGCUCUUCUCUUUUUAGAUUCUUAAGCUAGAAUCUUAGAUUACUGAUUACAGACUCUUUUUUUUUUUUUUUUUUUGAGACAGUCUCGCUCUUGUCACCUAGGCUGAGUGCAAUGGCAAUGGCGUGAUCUCGGCUCACUGCAACCUCUGCCUCCUGGGUUCAAGCAGUUCUCCUGCCUCAGCUUCCCGAGCAGCUGGGAUUACAGGCACCAGCCACCAUGCCCAGCUACUUUUUUUUUUUUUUUUUUUUUUUUUGUAUUUUCAGUAGAACCGGGGUUUCACCAUGUUGGCUAGGCUGGUCUCGAACUCCUGACCUCAGGUGAUCCGCUUGCCUCAGCCUCACAAAGUGCUGGGAUUACAGGCAUGAGCCACCGUGCCUGGCCCCGAGAGACUCUCUUUUCUAAUGUAUACAUUUAGUACUGUAAAUGUCCCUCUUGGCAGUGUUUUAACUAUGUUCCACAAUUUUUUGUUAUGAUAAAAUAUACAUAACAUAAAAUUUACCACUGUAACAAUUUUUAAGUGCACACUUCUGUGGCAUUAACUACAUUCACAUACAUUUUUUUUCUGAAACUAUCAACAUCAUCUAUCUCCAGAAAAUUUUCAUCUUCUUAAACUGAAACUAUAUACCUGUUAAAACACUAACUCCCCAUUCUCUCUCCUCCCAAACCCUGGACACCACCAUUCUACUUUCCAUCUCCAUGAAUUUGACUAUUGUAGGUACCUCACAUAAAUGGAAUAAUACAAUAUUUGUCCUUUUGUGACUGGCUUAUUUCACUUAGCAUGUCUUUAUGGUUCAUCCAUGUAGUAGUAAGUGUCAGAAUUUUCUGCCUUCUUAAGUAUGAACAAUAUUCCAUCGUAUAUGCCACACUUUGUUUAUCCAUUCAUCUGUCAGUGGGCCCUUGAGUUGCUUCCACAUUUUGGCUCUUGUGACUAAUACUGCUGUGAACAUCGGUGUACACACAUCCGUUAGAGUCCUUGCUUUCAAUUCUUUUGUAUAUAUGCCCAGAAAUAGAAUUGUUGUAUCAUAUUAUAAUUCUGUGUUUACUAUUUUGAGGAACACCCAUAUCACUUUCCGCAGUAGCUACACCAUUUUACAUUCCCACUAGCAAUGCACAAAGCUUCCAAUUUCUUCACACCCUCUUCAACACUUGUUAUCUUCUAUUUGUUUCAUAACAGCCAUCCUAAUGGGUGUGAAAUGAUAUCUCAUUUUGGUUUUGAUUUUGAUUUCCCUAAUGAUUAGUGACAUUGAGUAGAUUCUCAUAUGCUUUUUUGGCCAUCUAUGUAUGUUCUUUGGAGAGACAUCUAUUUUGCCCAUUUUUAAUUGGGCUGUGUGUUGAUUAUUGAGUUUGUCCCAUAAAUUUUAAUAUAUCGAUUGUAAUUUAACUUUAACUCUGUUUCACGUAAUUUUUUAUUUAUCUUGAGAUUUCUUCUUUGACCCAUGGAUUGUUUAGAAAUAUAUUGUUUAGUUUCCAACUGUUUGGAGAUUUUCCUGUUAUCUUUCUAUUGUAGAUUUCAAGUUUGCAUCCAUGUGGAAGGUGAACACACUGUAUACUUUUAAUACUUUUAAAUUUGGUGACAUGUAUGUGUGUGUGUGUAUAUGGCUAGGAUAUAACCUAUAGUGUUGUAAGUUCCAUGGAUACUUUAAAAUAAAUGUGUUUAGAUUUUAUUGAAUAUAAUGUCCAGUGUCUUAUAAAUGAUCAUUACACAUUGUUGAUUGGUGAUGGUAUUCAGUUAUUUUAUAUCCUUCCCAAUUUUCUGUCCAUGUGUUUUAAUAAUUGUUAAUAG
rnacentral:lncRNA from 1 species